CACGUAGUUAGCCGUGGCUUUCUGAUUAGGUACCGUCAAGAUGUGCACAGUUACUUACACAUUUGUUCUUCCCUAAUAACAGAGUUUUACGAGCCGAAACCCUUCAUCACUCACGCGGCGUUGUUCCGUCAGGCUUUCGCCCAUUGCGGAAGAUUCCCUACUGCUGCCUCCCGUAGGAGUCUGGACCGUGUCUCAGUUCCAGUGUGGCCGAUCACCCUCUCAGGUCGGCUACGUAUCGUCGCCUUGGUAAGCCGUUACCUUACCAACUAGCUAAUACGGCGCGGGUCCAUCUAUAAGUGAUAGCAAAACCAUCUUUCACUUUAGAACCAUGCGGUUCUAAAUGUUAUCCGGUAUUAGCUCCGGUUUCCCGAAGUUAUCCCAGUCUUAUAGGUAGGUUACCCACGUGUUACUCACCCGUCCGCCGCUAACUUCAAAGGAGCAAGCUCCUUAUCUGUUCGCUCGACUUGCAUGUAUUAGGCACGCCGCCAGCGUUCAUCCUGAGCCAGGAUCAAACUCU
rnacentral:rRNA from 1 species